rnacentral:lncRNA from 1 species
AAAGGCAAAUGACAGGCCAGUUGGGCAAACCAGAGAAAUAGAGCAAACUUUUUGCUCAUAACAGGAUACACACAGUUGUCUAAUUGCAAACUACGAACUAAUGAUCUAAGGACAAGGGCCAAUGAAAACCUUCACCCAGCACAGAUCCUUGUGUACACUGGGUCUGAUGAAAUUGGCAGCAGCCAGUGAGGCAUGAUUUGACAUGUGACAUGAGAAGAAACAUCAACAUAAAUUAUCUG